rnacentral:tRNA from 1 species
GCCUGGCUGGCUCAGUCGGUUGAGCAUCCGACUUUGGCUCAGGUCAUGAUCUCAUGGUUCGUGAGUUCGAGCCCCACAUCGGGCU